UCAAAAAAAAAUUAGGGAAGAACUUUACCCUUCGAUGUUACGGUACAAGAGGCUGGCAGCCAAAAAAUGCAUACUGGAAGCUCAGUCACAAGCAGCUGUUGAUUUAAUGAAUGAAGGAAAUCAUAAUAACUUGUGCCCAAAUUUGUGAUAAAUGUCUCUGCCUUGCCAAGCUCUUAUGCCCAAGCAUUGAAAAGGAAAAUCUGCCCUUGAAAUGACCAUCAAUUGGAUUUUCCACACUGCUGCAUUCAUGCACAUAAAUGCUGCACCUGUCUGCAUAAGGCAUGGCAACUCUGUUAAAAACAUUCACUCGUCUUUACAAAUCAACAACUUCAAGUGCUCAUGGUAAAAAAAAAAGGGAUAUCGCUGUCCAGGAUACCUCGUCACAGAACUAAAGAACUCGUGCAUUCCAGUCUUGAAACAGUGCAGCAUUUAUCAAAUUCACUUCAGCAGUCUGUUCACCUGAGGAUGGAAGAAAGCGGAAUCCCUCCUGAGGGACGUCAG